CCUAGUGCUUUUCUAGAGGAAGUCUUAAAAGUCUCAGGUCUCCUAACAACCACGGUUACCCCAACAACUACCAGCACCACACCACUUCCUACCCUUUUGCUGACCACUACUUUCAAUACCACAAGUGAUGGAGGUUUUCCUGGCUGGGCUCUGGCCAUUAUCAUCCCUUGUGGCAUCGCUAUCAUUCUGGUACCCCUGUGGAUCCUGCUAUGUUGCUUGCUAUGUGGCUGUUGUGCAGCUGUAAGGAGACGCUGGCACAGACGUAGAUCUUACAAUGUACAGUACACCACCAGAAACGGAUUCCUGUGAGGUGACUUCGCUAACAUCUGUGGGCAACUGUCAUCACAAAAACAACCAAUCAUCUAUAUCUGCUAAUCACGGGACUUUAAUGCAUGGAAAAUCCCUUGUUACUACAUACAAUUGCAUCUGAACAGCGGGGAGUUGCAUAUAUUUUUAUCAUAAAAAGAAAAUUGAUAAUGGGGUUAAUAGGCC